rnacentral:rRNA from 1 species
CCCUUAGAUGUUCUGGGCUGCACGCGCGCUACACUGCUGCAAUUAACGGGUUUUCUGUGCCGAAAGGCUUGGGGAAUCCUUUGAAUAUGCGGCGUGAUGGGGAUAGAAUAUUGUAAUUAUUACUCUUCAACGAGGAAUUCCUAGUAAGCGCGGGUCAGCAGCCCGCGCUGAUUACGUCCCUGCCCUUUGUACACACCGCCCGUCGCUCCUACCGAUUGAAUGGUCCGGUGAAGCGCUCGGACCGCGGCCUCUUGACGGUUCGCUGUCGAUUGGCUGUGGGAAGUUCGUUAAACCUUAUCAUUUAGAGGAAGGAGAAGUCGUAACA